CAACAAAAACGGCGAAAAAAACAAAGCUGAAGGAGGCGUAGCCACGAAGGGGCAACGCCUCCUCCAUCGCCCCCACCCCCUUUUUUCCGUCCAUAUCUCUCCUCCGUCUCUCCCUCCACUCUCGACCUUCUCGCUCGAAGAAACGAACACGCACGCACGCACACACACACCUAUACGUUGCGAUGGAGCAGUCGUCUUCGCCGCCCGCGUCUCCAUCGCCGUCACCGGUUGUGCUGCCGACGUGGCGCGUUGGCCACGCCGUCACUUCAUCGUCGCGGUGUUGCACAGCGUUCCGUGGCCGCUAUGUCGUGUACGCCGCCACCGACAACAGCAUCGCCCUUGUCGACGUGCUUGCGGAGCAUCCGAGUAGUCUUUCUGCGGAGGCGCGCUGGCGAUAUGCCAUGCGCCUGCGCGUCCUCGCCUCGCCGGACGAGCGCAUCAGCUUUGUCGUCGGCCACCCUGAGAAAGACCUCCUGUGCGUCGGCACGGCCCACCACGGCCUCUACCUCACCUCUCUCACGAAUCCCGCGCUGACGGAGGCAACGAAGUUGCCGCGCACCGUGACCGGCGACUGCACUUACGGCGCCACGUUCCUUUUCACAGAGGAGGCGAACUACCUGGCGUUCUCGUCGCUGCUGCACAGCCGACCGCUCGACCAAACGCCGCACCGGCUUUCGCUCUGGAGUAUCGACACUAAGGCGUUGCUGUGGCGUGGCGCCAUGGGGCCUCUUCAGAGCAUGUGCAGUCUCGCCUUCGACCUUUCCUUUGCUGCCUGCAGCGCCGGCAAAAUUGGCUUGUUCAGCGUGCAAUACACGGCCCCUGCUGCGACUGGCGGUGCAGAGGCACCGGCUGAUGGCCAGGCGCCCAAGCACAGAGAACGCAACCGCCUAAUGGUGCUGAGCCGCCACUGCAGCACCGUGGAGGAGCUGUGCGACGUUGAGUAUACGUGCUGUAUGGCGAGCCCGGUGGAGGGCGAGGAGACCUACCUGGCGCUGGCAAGCAGCGGCUUUCUCGUUGCCUUCAACGGCUCCACCGGAUCAGUGGUGCGGUGGAUGGACUGCAAGGUGUCAUCCGCCACGGCGCUGUGUUGCGUUGGCAAGGAGAGCCUCAUGCUGACCGGCUCCAUCACGCGCCUCUUCCAGGCCGAGACGUGGGAGUUUCAGGGCAAGGUGAAGUGGCAAGACGUGCUCGGCGCCGCCACUUCUACCAGCAGCGAUGAUGCCGGUGCGACGAAGGAAGGGCACGAGGACUCGGUUGUUGCUGCGAGCGGUGCGCAUGUCUUCACAAAUGGUGCCAGUGCAGGGAAUGGCGUGCUGGUCCUCUUCCACGAAGGCGGCGCGUUUUCCCUCUACUCGAUGGAGCCGAAGACGGGCACGCAGCGGAUGAGCUUGCGCCGCGCAUCUGUCUUCACGCCGCCCAUCUUGGUGCCUGCAGCGCCGGCGGAGAUCUGGCCCAUGAACUCAGCAUUGUGGUGCUGGUGGACCCCGCAGGCGCUCAUGUUUGUCUCUCCCCCCGGCUGCACACUUGUCACCGCUUUCGGCAACCAGUCCACUUGCGCGACGCUGCACCCUGCCGCUGGUGUGGUGGUGCUGUUCGACACGGCGCGCCACGCUCUCGUCGCUUACGGUCGUGCACCGGGAACACCAGCCGAGCUGGGCAGUGCAGCGACGAACGCGGACGAAAACAUCGUCAGCCUUGCCAGCUCUCCCACCGGCGAUGUCGUGUAUGCGCUGACUACGUCGUCAGCGGCAGCAGCGGCGAGCUGGCCCUCGGGGCUGCAGCUUCGUCGCUACCGGUGCUGCUGGGCGCAGACGCCGAAGGGUGGCAGCGGCGUUGGCAGCCGUGCUCUCCAGCUGGAGAGGAUCAAGAUCAGCGGCUCUGCCUCGGUGCCUGCUGGCACGCAUGCUUUAGUUGUGUAUAGCGGCGGCGAUGUGGACACCUCGGGGCCUGAGUCCACAGCGACUGAUGCGGACCGAGUCGUGGCGGUGCAGCGCGCAUCCAUUACCGCGCUCGGCAACAGCGUGGAAGCGGGCGAUCACGCAUCUGCCCCGCCUACUUACACGCAUGCAGAUGCCAUUCAGCACGUGGUGCCGUGCCAGGGUGGCCUGAUCGUGGCUGGUGCGGUCACUUCCGCGUAUGUGCAGGCCAAGGGUGCAUCGCGAUGGGUUGUGAAGUCGCUCGCAGAGCCACCGGCUACACAGGCGGUUGAAAAGGAAAGUGGUGCCAACGUGUGCGUAGUGGCCACCGUGGUGAUGCACCGGCCAGAUAUCGUGGUGGUCUGCCGCGGGUCGCGCCUCUCGGCGUGGCAGCUGAACGGCGACAAUCCCCUACUGAUCGCCACGCGGGCUAUUUCGACUUUGGUGCGUGCCAUAUGCAGCGCCGAGGACAAGGAAAACUCGGAGCUGCUUGUGUGGACGCUCGGCUCUGGCUGUUUCGACCUCUACAAGCUUGGACCACUGCAUCGGGCUGCAGCCCUUCACAACGAUGCGGAGAAGCUGCUUCCACCCCCUAAAGAAGUAGCGAAGAAGAGCAGCGCAGCUCCCUCGUCGUCGACAGCUCCACCCCCUGCGCCAUCAGCAGCACAGGCCUCUAACGCAGCACAGCGGCGCCCCGCCCGCACCCCCCUCGCUCCCGCCGUGAAGGCAAGAGGCGUGUCUAAGGCAGUGUCGGAGGCCCGCAGGCAGCGCCGCACCGCCUCCGCAAGCGCCCCGUCCAGCCGCGAACUCAGUGACCGCUUUGACGAGCUGACAGGCUUCUACGCACGUCAGAAGCGCGACAGCCAGGCAGGCGAGCACGCACGCACCCCUCGCUCGGCGGGCCCCUCUCGGCACCCCCACCCCUCCAUCAUCGUAGCCGCAGAGGCGAGUGUGCCCUCCUCACAAGACGACAGUGUGCCGGCGCUGUCGCGCACGCCUCGUGACCGCCAAAAAACCGAGACACCGGCGGACCCGCCGGCCACCGCGAACUUGGCUGCCUCGGCGGUUGAUGUGUCGGAGCUGACGGUGGACUCUCAGGUGCUCCGCGCCGGCGUGGCGGCUGCGGCUGACGCAGGCGUCAGUGGGGAGCUUUGCGUAGAAGAUGCGAACGAAGGUUCGAGGAACGGAAGCGUGUCGGCAUCUCCAAAGAGAACGGGUGCUGGCGAGCCUGCCGCAUGCCCCGAUAGCCCGCCGCAGCGACGGAACGCACAGCGCGGUUCUUCACGGCUGCUGUCGGAUGCGGAGGAUGCCGUCAUCCGGAGCUCCACCAGCAGCCGUGGUGCAAAGCCUUCCUUCCUCCCUUUAUACUUGAAGCACGAAGAGCGGCUGGCGGUGGCUGCGAAGCCGCACCGUGGCCCGAAUGGCAGCAGCAGCUCCACGAUGACGACGGAGCAGUUCACUGUGCACGCUCGCCACCUUCGGGAAUCUCUGCUGCACCUAAAGGAGUUGCUGGAGCAUAGCGACCUGCCGGACUCCGCGAGCAACGCGUCCUUUUCAGCGACUGAGGAAGCGGAGCUCGACGAACUCCCCGACCUCCUCACGACAGUCGCGGCACAGCUGCAGCUGCGCCAGGUCCGGCGAUCAGGCGAGAGUGCGCAUGCGAACGCUAGCAGGGCAUCCUCUGCCGUUGGUGAACAGAAGCCCACGCCUGACGCUUACGCGGCGGUGGCGGCUGAGCUUGCCCGCAUACAGGCGCAGAACGCGAGGCUGGAGGAGCAGAACCGCAUUAUCCUCACCCAACUGCGCGGCGGGUCGCACUAAGUAGGCAACAGCGACGCACACACACACACACACACACACACACACACACACGCUUGAUAUGGGGCUACCUUCUCAACUCCCUCCACCCAGCCUCUCACUGCGCGACACUGCUGGCGUUUGCCUUCCCUUACGGCGUGCAUGCCCUUGGCUACUGUGGUGCGAAGGUGCCUCGCCCUGUCCUGGUGCGUGCGUGCCCGCGCUUUUAGUUUCUUGAUCGUCUUUCCUUCUUUUGCUGGUCAAGUCUUGCGAGAUCUCGCGCACGUGUGUGUGUGUGUGCGCAUGCGUGUGCUUCCCGCUCUCGCUCCUUAUUGUAUGCCUGAGUCUGUCUGUCUCAGGUCGUCGAUCUCGUAAUGCGUGAGUGUAUCGUUGUUUUCAUCAGCACCUUUUCUUUCUGUGUUGCGCGCACCAUCCUCCCAUCGCCUCGACCCCGCACCGCACUCUCAUGCCUCAUCUGCCAUCUCCCAAAGGUCGACUUGCUUGCUUCUAUUCCUUUAUCUCUUGACUUUCUUUUCCCGAUGGCCAGGGGAGGGCACGCACCCUCUGCGCGGUUGUAUCACGGGCCUCGCUGCACACGCACACCACCCACUCUUUGUGUGUGUGUGUGUGUGGGUGGGAAGCCAAAGCAGCCGUCUCUCCCACCCCCCCCCCCUCUAUCCCCCUGCCCCUGCCGAACCACUUCGGGUGGUGACGGGGGUUCCCGUGCCCACGACGCAGAGAGGCCAGAGCGACCUGCGACAGCGCACACGCUUGUGUCAUCCAUGUGAUGGGCGAAGCUUCCGCGUGACUCGAGCGCAUCCCGCCCGACGCUCACUGCCUACUGGUGUGUGUGCGUGGGGUGGGUGGGUGGGGGCCUGGGACACCCCCGAGGGACGCAGCAGGUGGCGACCGGCAGAGAGGGUCUGCGUAGAGUGUGAGGCGGCGGCCGUGCUCAGCUGACUGAGUCGGCGCACUGCUGUGCCGGCGUGUGUCUGCUGCUGCCUCUGCGCACGGCGCGGAUGUGUGGGGCGGGGGUGCAGUGUGGCGUGUGACCGGUGCUGUAUGGCCGAGAACGAAUGCACACGCGUUGAAACGGACUAACCAUUUUUUUUCUCGCGCAUCGGUCAGCAUCGUUUGGCGUCUUCCAUCAGCAGUGCUUUGCCAUCGGGGACUGCGCUACAACGGCGAAGGGCGAUCCAGUG
rnacentral:misc_RNA from 1 species